GACGAACGCUGGCGGCGUGCUUAACACAUGCAAGUCGAGCGAGCGGCGGACGGGUGAGUAAUGUAUGGGGACUGCCCGAUAGAGGGGGAUAACUACUGGAAACGGUGGCUAAUACCGCAUACUAUCGGAUAACCCAUAUGGGAUUAGCUAGUAGGUGGGGUAAAGGCUCACCUAGGCGACGAUCUCUAGCUGGUCUGAGAGGAUGAUCAGCCACACUGGGACUGAGACACGGCCCAGACUCCUACGGAGGCAGCAGUGGGGAAUAGUGCACAAUGGGCGCAAGCCUGAUGCAGCCAUGCCGCGUGUAUGAAGAAGGCCUUCGGGUUGUAAAGUACUUUUGGCAGAGAAGCGGUAUCUGCAGAAUAAGCACCGGCUAACUACGUGCCAGCAGCCGCGGUAAUAC
rnacentral:rRNA from 1 species